CGAGGGUAAGCCCGUUUUGUUUGAGCCCUCUCGAGACCAAAUCAGAAGACGCAAGUCGAAGUGGUGUGUAAAAGGGGAGAUGGUUUUGUGCUUUCCUUCAACACCUCAGAAGUUGUGGAUGACAGUGGCUUUGUUUCUUGGUGGUUCAUCCUUAUUUGGUGUUGGUUUGCAUCUUUCUUAUGUACACGUUGCUCCCCAACAAGCUCGAAUAAAAGCCCGCGGUGAUUUUGUGAAGGAUAAGUUGAGAAAGAAAUAUGGGUAUGACCAAUUCCCAUACGAGAAGUUAAAGUCUAAGUACACUUGAUCAUUGCUGAUGUAGAUCGAUCAAUCCCACCAUGCAGAGAUGCGUUACGAUAGGAAGAAAUCAUUCAAUUAAAAGAUUGAUGAGAAAUAGUGUCUAUGUAAUUGUUGAAGUUGGAUUUUGGAGUAUUGAUUUGUAGUGCAUACACAUACAUGUAGCCUUCAAUAAGACUAUUCUGUGAAGUGUUGUAAUGAAGUGUUUGUUUAUCUGAAUACAUUUCAGAUGUAAAAGAACAGUUUAGCAGCAAUGCUUGAUAAGAGGUGGGAUAAGGAUAACCACUUGUUCAAUAAAAAGGUCUGAAAGGACUAACUUCUUAUAUGG